UGGGGAAUAUUGCACAAUGGAGGAAACUCUGAUGCAGCAACGCCGCGUGGAGGAUGACGCAUUUCGGUGUGUAAACUCCUUUUAUAUAGGAAGAUAAUGACGGUACUAUAUGAAUAAGCACCGGCUAACUCCGUGCCAGCAGCCGCGGUAAUACGGGGGGUGCAAGCGUUACUCGGAAUCACUGGGCGUAAAGGGAGCGCAGGCGGGUUAAUAAGUGUCUUGUGAAAGCCUAUGGCUUAACCAUAGAACGGCAAGACAAACUGUUAACCUAGAGUUCAGAAGAGGUAAGUGGAAUAGGUGGUGUAGGGGUAAAAUCCGUAGAGAUCACCUGGAAUGCCAACGGCGAAAGCAACUUACUGGGAUGAAACUGACGCUGAGGCUCGAAAGCGUGGGGAGCAAACAGGAUUAGAUACCCCCGUAGUC
rnacentral:rRNA from 1 species